rnacentral:lncRNA from 1 species
GCCCAGUUUCUUUUCAGCAUAGACAAAUACCUCUGUCCCUUCUGCUGAUUUACAUGGUAGGUUUAUUUAAUUAGUCAGAGGUAAAGCCAAAGUGCAGCUUGUCCUCAGAGUCAAUUAAUAUUUACGGAGUUACCCACAGUGCAUGACGCCAAGGCUGCUGUAUGUUAUCUGUAUCAGCGUAGGGAGCAGACUUCACCCCCUUGAUCCUGGCAUGAGCAGGGAACAAGAGCCAAGGAGGAGUGUCUGACGGGUCUCUGAGCCACUGUGAGGAAUGAGAACAUCCUAAGUCUGCGAUCAUGCUAACCACAGCCCUGGUGCACAGGAGACUUAGAGACUGAUGGCUGUGUUCAUAAUUUAAAAAACAAAAAAACCAAAAAGGAGUGGCAGAGAAGGUGGCUAGAAGAUCAUGUCCCUCUCUGGGGCGGAUUCGAUGGGACAGAGGUGUAAUGGGAACAGAAGCUACAGGGGACACGUGCCCUCAGCUGUAUUCGCUAAGCAUCACCCAUGAGUAAGUGAGGUAAAGAUCUUCCUGCUUUUCACCUAGUCCUUCCCAGGAGAAGGAGCACGGAGUGACUGAUGCUGGAGGAGGUCAGGCCUCACGAGUAAACAGACUCACUUUAGCUGUGGCUUGGCUGCAAAAGAAAGAAAACCUGGCCUGGGCAAAAGAGCACUAGAAUGUGUGGUCCUAUAGGCCAUAGCCCCUCUUCCCUCCCCUUGCCCUCUUCUGUGUAUUCGAGAACCACACUUUUAUCCUGAAGCCUUUAUGCCUGCCACUUUUCCUAGAUGGUACUUCAUUGGGCUCUUAGCCAGAGCUAGCCCUCACUCAUGGAGUGUCCGGACAAAGCCAUUACUGUGACAGGAUCUUGCCCUAGUGCUUGCCCUCUACCCUUGGUGUCCUCCUGGACUGCCAUACCUGACAAGUAUCUCACAGCUUACCCUAACUUUCAGUGUUAGGUGGCAUGGGAGUUCCAUGCUCCAAGCUGCCUUUAUGGGUGUUAGUUCAGAAAUGGCAGCUCUUGACUCUUCUGGAGCCUCC